GUGAAUCAUCAAAUUUUUGAACGCAAAUUGCACUCUCUGGUAUUCCGGAGAGUAUGCCUGUUUGAGGGUCAGUUUAAAUAAAAAUCGGUGUGGUUGCUGCCUUUAGUGGUGACGCACCGGAUGUGGGUCGUCUUGCCUUCGGUUAAGUGACUUUAAAUUUUGCAUGUUUUUUUCGAACGGACUUAAAUGAAUUUACGUACGAUUGCGAUAUCGAAUUCUUGGUGUGGAAAUUCUAA
rnacentral:misc_RNA from 1 species